AUGCGUAGAUAUAUGGAAGAACACCAGUGGCGAAGGCGGCUGUCUGGUCUGUAACUGACGCUGAGGCUCGAAAGCAUGGGUAGCGAACAGGAUUAGAUACCCUGGUAGUCCAUGCCGUAAACGAUGAUUACUAAGUGUUGGAGGGUUUCCGCCCUUCAGUGCUGCAGCUAACGCAUUAAGUAAUCCGCCUGGGGAGUACGACCGCAAGGUUGAAACUCAAAAGAAUUGACGGGGGCCCGCACAAGCGGUGGAGCAUGUGGUUUAAUUCGAAGCUACGCGAAGAACCUUACCAGGUCUUGACAUCUUCUGCCAACCUAAGAGAUUAGGCGUUCCCUUCGGGGACAGAAUGACAGGUGGUGCAUGGUUGUCGUCAGCUCGUGUCGUGAGAUGUUGGGUUAAGUCCCGCAACGAGCGCAACCCUUAUUACUAGUUGCCAGCAUUCAGUUGGGCACUCUAGUGAGACUGCCGGUGACAAACCGGAGGAAGGUGGGGAMGAMGUCAAAUCAUCAUGCCCCUUAUGACCUGGGCUACACACGUGCUACAAUGGAUGGUACAACGAGUCGCGAAACCGCGAGGUUUAGCUAAUCUCUUAAAACCAUUCUCAGUUCGGACUGUAGGCUGCAACUCGCCUACACGAAGUCGGAAUCGCUAGUAAUCGCGGAUCAGCAUGCCGCGGUGAAUACGUUCCCGGGCCUUGUACACACCGCCCGU
rnacentral:rRNA from 1 species